AGCAGCCGCGGUAAUUCCAGCUCCAAUAGCGUAUAUUAAAGUUGUUGCAGUUAAAAAGCUCGUAGUUGAAUUUCGGGAUCAGCAGGUCGGUCGUGCCACUGGUAUGCACUGGCCUUGCUGAUUCCUCCCUCUUGAUGAGCCGUAAUGCCAUUAAUUUGGUGUUGCGGGGAAUCAGGACUGUUACUUUGAAAAAAUUAGAGUGUUUAAAGCAGGCAUGCGCUUGAAUACAUUAGCAUGGAAUAAUGAAAUAGGACGUUCGAUCCUAUUUUGUUGGUUUCUAGGAUUGACGUAAUGAUUAAUAGGGAUAGUUGGGGGCAUUAGUAUUCAAUUGUCAGAGGUGAAAUUCUUGGAUUUAUUGAAGACUAACUGCUGCGAAAGCAUUUGCCAAGGAUGUUUUCAUUAAUCAAGAACGAAAGUUAGGGGAUCGAAGACGAUCAGAUACCGUCGUAGUCUUAACCAUAAACUAUGCCGACUAGGGAUCGGAUGAUGUUAAUUUUUUAAUGACUCAUUCGGCGCCUUA
rnacentral:rRNA from 1 species